rnacentral:lncRNA from 1 species
AGAAAACAGACCUUUUAUAUAUGAGAGUAUGGAUAUGAAAACUCAGUGAUACAUCUCGAGUAAAUACGGACCGGGAACAGAGAACUCGCCGGCAACCUCGAAACUCAAAUGGCAACCUCGAACAGGAACGAGCGAAGCUCAUAAACUAAUUGCCUCCCUUUUAUGGUAUUUUCAUGACUAUUUUAUGGCUGGAGAAGAUGAGUUCAUGGUGGUGGAUUUUCUCCUAAGCUAAUUUCGCUAGCUUCGUUACUUUAUCAAAAUAGAGAGCACGGUUUCCAUCUUCAUUGUCUUAAUAAUUGGUUCCUUUGUAUUAAACAAGAACUUGGUUACAUCAGAUUUUCCAUGAAAUGAAUGGAAUGCGGAACCAACGUACCAUGAACGGAACCUCGUCGGCCACGACCUCGAGCUCAAGACUUCAACGGAAUUAAGGCAGGAUUCUGGAACUGUUUUAUAGCUGCGUUUUUGGGCUAGUUUGAGACAUUUUCAGCUGGUUUUGUAGCUGAUUUUUCGUUGGUUUCACAGCUGAUUUUCAGUAAAUUUUUGGCGUGAUUUUCAGGUGGAAAAUGAAGCUGGACAGAAAUAAAAACUUGAAGCUCCCCCCCUCCCCCCCUUAUGGCUGGAGAAGAUGAGUUCAUGGUGGUGGAUUUUCUCCUAAGCUAAUUUCGCUAGCUUCGUUACUUUAUCAAAAUAGAGAGCACGGUUUCCAUCUUCAUUGUCUUAAUAAUUGGUUCCUUUGUAUUAAACAAGAACUUGGUUACAUCAGAUUUUCCAUGAAAUGAAUGGAAUGCGGAACCAUCGUACCUUGAACGGAACCUCGUCGGCGACGACCUCGAGCUCAAGACUUCAACGGAGUUAAUGCAGGAUUCUGGAACUGUUUUAUAGCUGCGUUGUGGCUGCGUGUUUGGGCUAGUUUGAGACAGUUUUCAGCUGGUUUUGUAGCUGAUUUUUCGUUGGUUUCACAGCUGAUUUUCAGUUAAUUUUUGGCGUGAUUUUCAGGUGGAAAAUGAAGCUGGACAGAAAUAA